rnacentral:rRNA from 1 species
AUUGAACGCUGGCGGCAUGCCUUACACAUGCAAGUCGAACGGCAGCGGACCUUCGGGUGCCGGCGAGUGGCGAACGGGUGAGUAAUAUAUCGGAACGUACCUUUCAGUGGGGGAUAACGUAGCGAAAGUUACGCUAAUACCGCAUAUUCUGUGAGCAGGAAAGCAGGGGAUCGCAAGACCUUACGCUGAUUGAGCGGCCGAUAUCAGAUUAGCUAGUUGGUGAGGUAAAGGCUCACCAAGGCGACGAUCUGUAGCGGGUCUGAGAGGAUGAUCCGCCACACUGGAACUGAGACACGGUCCAGACUCCUACGGGAGGCAGCAGUGGGGAAUUUUGGACAAUGGGCGCAAGCCUGAUCCAGCCAUGCCGCGUGAGUGAAGAAGGCCUGGUUGU